UACACAUAUAGAAGUUGUGUUAAAGCACUACCUCAGCUUCCCGAAUCUAUGAAGCAUAGUCAAGCGGAUUUGUAUCUAGAAACAUAUCAGGUUUUGGACUUAGAAAUGAGUCGUUUACGCGAAAUUCAGAGAUGGCAAUCGUCGGCUUCAGCUAAAUUAGCUGCUGACAUGCAGCGGUUUUCCAGACCUGAACGACGCAUCAAUGGCCCCACAGUCACACAUCUUUGGUCGAUGCUAAAGUUGCUUGACGUCUUGGUUCAGCUGGAUCAUCUUAAAAAUGCUAAAGCUAGCAUUCCUAAUGAUUUCUCUUGGUACAAGAG